GCGACGGCUCUGUCCUGGCCCCAUGGCAGGGAACCCGUCUGGGAUGGGGCCCCGCCCCCUGCACUGCCGGGCCGUGGGGGGCAUUCUGGCCCCGCCCCGCCCGGCGACUCGCGUUCGAACCCGCCCCCUCGCCACCGUCGGCCGGGCGCACGCCCCGAAUGCCACCCGGCUGGAGGUGGCCUGGCCCCGCCCCCUCUGGCCGACCGGGAGGCGGGGCCGGUGUGGGCUUCGGACCUGAGCUAAUCCGGGUCCAAGAUCUCCAGUGGCCUAGGAGGGGACCGAAGCUCGAAGGUCCCCCCACCCCCCACCCCCGCCCGGCUUUCCUCCCACCUUCCCCCAACAGGGGACUCUGGGAGAGUCCCUGGAAUGGUCCUCUUGGCGGGAAACCUUAGACAAACUUUUUCAGCUGGAAGGAACCUGGAAGAUCACUUGGGCCAACUGCCAUGCAUUCAUUUAUUCAUUCAUUAAAUUAGCAUUCUCUGGCCUCCUAUGUGCCAAGCACUAUGCUGGACUCUUGAGAGUGCAAGGGUCAAAGACACACAGCCUCUACAUUCCCGGAGCCUACAACCUAGAAUCUGCUGGCAAGGAAACAAACCAAAUAAGCAAAUAAAUAUAAUUGCACAUGCAUUUAUUUAUGUUUAUAUACACACACACAUACAUACAUACAUACAUACAUACAUACAUACUUGUGUGUGAUUACAAAGUGUGCUGUUAGAAAGGGAGUGAGCAUAGGGGGCAACGAUAUGAAGGACAGAGAGGACCAAUUUAGAUGGCAGAGGGCCUCCCUAAGCAGGUGACAUGUAAACCAUGCCCUGAAGGAUAAAAGGUCACAGAGGCUCAGAGGGUGUGACUCAACCAGGAUUAUGCAACAAUAGGUGGCAGAGACAGGACUAGAACCCUGGUAUCCUGCCCCCCAAGCCCAGUGGGAUUUCCACAUCAUUCCCCCCACCCCCUGCCUCCCACUCCCUGCACUGCUGCCUUCCUGAUGGGUUCCAGAAGUUGUUGAGGUCUGUGGGAGGGAAGUAGAGGGCAGGCGCGGUGACACCUACAAAUUUGGGCAAACCUUCUGGCUCCAGCCCUGGCCCUGGCCCAGAACAAGGGAAGGAAAUGCUGUCAACAGUCCAGAUGCUGUCAUCUGCCUGUGAUGCCUGGAACGGCAGCUGCCAAUUUUAGGACUUUGAGGAAGGAGCCUAAGAGGGUAUUGCAAUACACUGGAGAUGGCAGAGCACAAGUGAGGAUGGAACCAGUGUCCUUGAAGACAUAACCAAGUCCCUGUAUUAACCAGUCUGGAUUACCUUGCCCUUGGACUUCUCAUUAUGUGAAAGAAAAAUUGUCCUCAUUGUUUAA